GUUCCUAUGGACCUAUGAUAAGGUAAGCCAAUGUCCUAAGAAAAUAAUCUGUUUCUUCGAUCACUGGGAGCAUUAAACUCUCUCACUAAAGGUGGGAUUAUAGUCUUCAUUGAGUUGCUUGCGCUACAUCAGUGGACAACCCAUACAUGAAUCUUUCAAACUUGCUGAUAUGAAAACUGCAUUCAUCACAGCAGUAUGUUUCUUAGUUAGUAGUGGUAAAUUUACCCAUCCCAGGACCUUGCUCAUUCCUUGUGUGAUUUUAUAUUUUUCUCUUUUUUUCUUUAUUUGAAUUUUUAUAUUUUUUUUCUAAAAUUUAAGCAAAAUAUUAAUACAUUAUCCAUUAAAAUAUAAACAUGAGUUAGAUAAUUCAACAAAAUAAGUUAUACUCCUCGCCUCUGUUCCAUUUGGGGUAGAUUCUUGUAAGGAACAGGAAAUCCCCGUCCCUUGACAUUUCCACACGCGUCCAAUUCCUGGUAAUGUUACAUAUACUAAAUAAAGUAUCACACAAGCCAUAUAGAAAAAGACGUAAUAUUCCUUUUAUUCACUUUUACAAUCACAAUCUCUAAAAUAGAACUAUUGUUUCUUUGAGAUAACAUCUCUGUAUCUACGUAACAGCAAAAUUUUUAUCACCUAUGUCAUCUUCAAAAUACCUGGGAAACCACUAGAAUUACGGUACUAGCAGCUAGUGAGUUCCAAAAUACAGGGACUCAGAGCAAAAAAGAAUGUAAAAAGAAAAUAAUAAAAAAGGAAGUUACUUCCCUAGUUUAUUAUUUAAAUCAUGGAAAUCAGAAUAUUGAAUCAAAUCAUAAGAUUCCAAUUACAAAUUGUAGAUUGACCAAUGAUUUUUCUCAAAUUUAAUUCACAUGCCUUAUUGGAUUCAUUUGAGUUUUGAAUUGCAUUGAAUUGUAAGAUUUGAUUUUUAAUUGAAUAAUUCUAAGUAGAGCAAAUCCGUCUCCUAUCUUUGUUGCCUUCAUGAACUAUUGAGUUUAAAAUUUCUGCAUGGGGAUACUUCAUCAUGAACUAUAGGUAUAAAUACUUGUGGGACCUAUAUGUGAAUACACUUGUUGCCUCUAUAGUCUAUCGUGAAUUAGGUUCACUUUAGAUUUUCACAGAAGAGAGAUAAAUAUUAAAACUAACAAAUUACUUCUACUUUUGCUUGCAGGUUGAGAUAUUAACUAUCAAUU
rnacentral:misc_RNA from 1 species